rnacentral:lncRNA from 1 species
CGUGUGGGCUAUAGCCUUGGUGGGGGGCGUGGGCGAAGUUUGUCCGCCGGACUCGGAAUGGCCCCAGACUUUGCGGGCGGACUCCGUGUGCCAAAAAUAGGCCACGGGCACAGCCGCGCCCAAAAAUGAGCGCCCGAAGGUCGGGGCGCCAACACCCCCCAGCGGAAAAAUGGCAAAGAAACGGGUGUGCUAUAGCCUUGGUGGGGGGCGUGGGCGAAGUUCGUCCGCCGGACUCGGAAUGGCCCAAGACUUUGCGGGCGGCCUCCGUGUGCCAAAAAUAGGCCACGGGCGCAGCCGCGCCCAAAAAUGAGCGCCCGAAGGUCGGGGCGCCAACACCCCCCAGCGGAAAAAUGCCCAAAAAACGGGUGGGGCUAUAGCCCUGGCGGGGGGCGUGGGCGAAGUUCGUCCGCCGGACUCGGAAUGGCCCCAGACUUUGCGGGCAGCUUCCGUGUGCCAAAAAUAGGCCACGGGUACAGCCGCGCCAAAAAAUGAGCGCCCGAAGGUCGGGGCGCCAACACCCCCCAGCGGAAAAAUGGCCAAAAAACGGGUGGGCUAUAGCCUUGGUGGGGCCCGUGGGCGACGUUCGUCCGCCGGACUCGGAAUGGCCCCAGACAUUGCGGGCGGCCUCCGUGUACCAAAAAUAGGCCACGGGCAGAGCCGCGCCCAACAAUGAGCUCCCGAAGGUCGGGGCGCCAACACCCCCCAGCGGAAAAAUGGCCAAAAAACGGGUGGGCUAUAGCCUUGGCGGGGGGCAUGGGCGAAGUUCGUCCGCCGAACUCGAAAUGGCCCCAGACUUUGCGGGCGGCCUCCGUGUGCCAAAAUUAGGCCACGGGCACAGCCGCGCCCGAAGGUCGGGGCGCCAACACCCCCCAGCGGAAAAAUGGCCAAAAAACGGGUGGGCUAUAGCCUUGGCGGGGGGCAUGGGCGAAGUUCGUCCGCCGAACUCGGAAUGGCCCCAGAGUUUGCGGGCGGCCUCCGUGUGCCAAAAAUAGGCCACGGGCACAGCCGUGCCCAAAAAUGAGCGCCCAAAGGUCGGGGCGCCAACAGCCCCCAGCGGAAAAAUGGCCAAGAAACGGGUGUGCUAUAGCCUUGGUGGGGGGCGUGGGCGAAGUUCGUCCGGUGGACUCGGAAUGGCCCCAGACUUUGUGGGCGGCCUCCGUGUGCCAAAAAUAAGCCACGGGCACUGCCACGCCCAAAAAUGAGCGCCCGAAGGUCGGGGCACCAACACCCCCCAGCGGAAAAAUGGCCCAAAAACGGGUGGGCUGUAGCCUUGGUGGGGGGCGCGGGCGAAGUUCGUCCGCCGGACUCGGAAUGCGGCGAGACUUUGCGAGGGGCCUCGGGGUGCCAAAAAUAAGCCGCGGGCAAAGCCGCACCCAAAAAUAAGCGCCCGAAGGUCGUGGUGCCAAAACCCCCCAGCGGAGAAACGGCCAAAAAACGGGUGUGCUAUAGCCUUGGUGGGGGGCGUGGGCGAUGUUCGUCCGCCGGACUCGGAAUGGCCCCAGCCUUUGCGGGCGACCUCCGUUUUCCAAAAAUAGGCCACGGGCACAGCCGCGCCCAAAAAUGAGCAUCCGAAGGUUGGGGCGCCAACACCCCCCAGCGGAAAAAUGGCCAAAAAACGUGUGGGCUAUAGCCUUGGUGGGGGGCGUGGGCGAAGUUCGUCCGCCGGACUCGGAAUGGCCCCAGACUUUGCGGGCGGACUCCGUGUGCCAAAAAUAGGCCACGGGCACAGCCGCGCCCAAAAAUGAGCGCCCGAAGGUCGGGGCGCCAACACCCCCCAGCGGAAAAAUGGCAAAGAAACGGGUGUGCUAUA